CGGGCUGUGGCGCAGUUGGUAGCGCGCGUCGUUCGGGACGACGAGGUCGUGGGUUCAAGUCCCGCCAGCCCGA
rnacentral:tRNA from 1 species